UUUAUAUAGUUAUAAAUCAAAUUAAUUAAAAAUGAAAUCUGAAGCAUCAAAAAGUUGAGUAAUGGAGAAAAAAAAUUAAUUUAACUAUCAAGAAGUACUGUAAAGGAACCAAGCUAAAUAUAAAAAAUUAGUCUAAUUUACGUACUUUUUGCAUCACGGCUUAGCAAGAGUUGACCUAAAAUUUUAGAUUCUCGAAAGUCAGCGAGCUAUCUUUUCCCUGGAAAAUUAGACCAAGAUUUAUAACAGAAGACUAAAAAUGUGGCAAAAUUUUAGCAAGAGAAAAAGAUAGAAAUGAAAUUUUAUUCGCGCUGGCGAUAGCUAGUUUUCCUAGAAACGUAUAGAAGUACGGAAAUAAAAUCAAGUAAUAGAAAUAUUGAAUUCUUUUACUAGUUUUAUAAAUAAUUUUUUUAAGGAUAAGCUUGAGAAUAUAUAGUAGUAAAUAUCUAUAAAAUUUGGAAUGUAGGCUUGAAAUUAGCCAGCAUGUAAAACUUGUUAUAAAGUAGCAUUUUUAGAUAACAAAAUAAAUAUAUUUUUACUCUAGUUCUUAUAGGAAUAAGAAAUAAAACUAUUUGAUUAAUUAACUUAUGCUAAGAUGAGUAUUAAAACUUUAAAUAUUCUUUAAGAACUAAAUAAUUUUAAUUCUUACUUAAAUCACAUUUUAGUUAAAAUUAAAUAAAAAAAAGGAACUCGGCAAAAUAAGUUGCUUCGCCUGUUUAUCAAAAACAUGGCUCUUUGUAAGAGAAAAAUGGAGAGUCGGACCUGCCCAGUGAAAACUUUUAACGGCCGCGGUACUCUGACCGUGCAAAGGUAGCAUAAUCAUUUGCCUUAUAAUUGAAGGCUUGUAUGAAUGGUUUAACGGGAGCAAUACUGUCUCUUUUUUAAUUUGUAGAAUUUAACUUUCAGGUGAAGAGGCCUGAAUAGCAUUGAAGGACAAGAAGACCCUAUCGAGCUUAAAAGAAAAACAGAGAAGUAAGCUAUAAUUGUAAAUCUAGAACUGUUCAAGCUUUUUGGUUGGGGCGACUAAGGAACAAAAAAAGCUUCUUCAUGAAAAUAAGCUUAUAAGCAAUGAUCCAGUAAAUCUGAUCAAAAGAAUUAGUUACCGUAGGGAUAACAGCAUAAUCUUCCUUGAGAGACCUAAUCGAAAGGGGGGGUUGUGACCUCGAUGUUGGACUAGAAUAUCCUAAAGAUGCAGAAGUCUUGAAAGGUUGGUCUGUUCGACCAUUAAAAUUCUACAUGAUCUGAGUUC
rnacentral:rRNA from 1 species